rnacentral:rRNA from 1 species
UACGGAGGGUGCAAACGUUGCUCGGAAUCAUUGGGCGUAAAGCGCGCGUAGGCGGCGAAGCAAGUUGGAUGUGAAAGCCCUGGGCUCAACCUAGGAUGUGCAUACAAAACUGCUUCGCUUGAAUCUCGGAGGGGGUCAGGGAAUUCCCGGUGUAGAGGUGAAAUUCGUAGAUAUCGGGAGGAACACCAGUGGCGAAGGCGCUGACCUGGACGAUGAUUGACGCUGAGGCGCGAAAGCUAGGGGAGCAAACAGG